rnacentral:lncRNA from 1 species
GUACUGGAAGGUCGACAAAUCUCGCAAUGUGUUAGAGUUACAUGCGACAUUAUAUAGCGCCAAGCUCAAUUAUUGUUUCCAAUUGUGCACCGCAAUAUCAAAGCUGCACAUCGCUUGGUUAUUCAGCCCAUUUGACGGUCAAUCACAGCCCAGGGGAAGAGGAAGGUAAGCUUACCGAAGGUAAGAAUGACAACACAUUUCUAAGCGUCCAGGUUAGCUGCACCAGCUGUGGCGCGGGCUGGCCCAUUCUUGAAUCAACAUUCACUCUGAUUUCUCCUUAGGUCAGCUCCGCCAGGAUAUGGCGCGGGUUAGCCCAUUCUUGAAUCAAC